UUAAAUUGCAGAUAGGAAACUAGACUGUAUAUCUGUGUAACUGAAUGAAAGUUUAAGCGUUAUGUAAGAACGCCAGCCACAGAGCCACCCGUUAAGGUGGUAUUUUUUUUG
ncrna:unclassified sequences DTF3800-I RNA